GCUUUUAAAUUACAGUUUUUUUUAUUCAGGUAAAAUGCAUGCAACACAAAACGGAACAUUUUAAUCAUCACAGAGCAUCCGACUCAGUGUAAUUGAGUGCAAUCCUGCUGUUCAGCCGUCACCUCUACUUACCCAACUUUGAUCACAGGGAAACCCACACCCACCACACCCUGUUCCUCCCACCCAUGGCACUCAGUACCAGCACAUUGGAGAACGUUCCGUGUGCAUUUUGUCUUCGGUUUAUAAUCAUAUGCAGGAAGAUUUUGUUCAUUCUUCAGUUAUGAAGGAAUUCACAGAAUUUUUUUUGUUUUCUAGUAUUGCCCGAGUUUCACACCGGCCUUUGCCCUACUGGUCGCCUUGGUCUUGGUGCAGGGGUCACAAUGCAGAUCUGCCGAAGUUGUUCUCCGGGCAUGAGGAGACACUUUUCCAUCAGACUGACCUUUCUGGACAUUGAAGUCUGACCCUGGGUUAUUCACGUCCCUGGCCUUCAGCUUCCGAUUGUGCUAGAGCCUCAGGGUCGAGUGUGGCAAGAGACCCCUGUGAGACCAGUUCAACCUGUGCCAUGAUCCAGCCACUGGUGAAGAGAGACUGGGCUGGAUGCUCAGCAACCUCAGCUCUGGCUGAAGAAGAUCUCGAGUCUCUGUUAGAGCAGAUACAACUUUGAAGGCUUCUGUGGGGUGCUAGAGCUGGGAGUUUGAAGCCCCUGUGUUCAUCCUUUUCUUCCCCCACUUUGUCCAGCAUCAUUAGGAGCACCCCACUAUUUGCAUGGAACUGCAUUUGGAGAGUGCCCCGGUCACCAGAACCUGGCCUUCCCUAUAUUUUGAAUAUCUCUAUUGCCACGUCCCACUCUGGACUAGCACAGAGCUCUCUACUGUCAGGCAGGCAUCAGCGCCUCUAAACCGUGGCUGCAGAACCAACAUCAGAACCCUUCCCUCCUGUACCAUCAGACCAACCUGUCAUACCCCUAACGGUUACUAAAGUGGGCCACAUCGUCCUGCAGUGGCUCACCUAAAGCCUCUUGGCCCACCGAGGGAUAUGAACCCCAUUUGGCUACAGGGCUUCUUUCUACAGGACCUUCCUCAGCUGGACACACAGCUCACCCCAACACACACAGCCUGGCGGGGGGGUGGGCAGGUUGCUAGGCUAGGUCAAGUCAAAGGACGGGCCCAAGGAGACACAGGACAAGGCAUGUUCAGCCAGCACAUACCUCCAGCACUACAGCACUUCAAAACACUCCCAUGGCCUGAUUUAGGUAACAAGCAUCAAGGAAAGGCUAGACAUGGGGAGCCAAGUGAAUGUGCAGUGUUGUAGAUAUUGCUCUGUAUAAAUAAACACUGAUUGGCCAGUAA